rnacentral:rRNA from 1 species
UUAAGCGACUAAGCGUACACGGUGGAUGCCCUGGCAGUCAGAGGCGAUGAAGGACGUGCUAAUCUGCGAAAAGCGCCGGCGAGGUGAUAUGAACCUUUGACCCGGCGAUGUCCGAAUGGGGAAACCCAGUGCAAUUCGUUGCACUAUCGUUAACUGAAUACAUAGGUUAACGAGGCGAACCGGGGGAACUGAAACAUCUAAGUACCCCGAGGAAAAGAAAUCAACCGAGAUUCCCCCAGUAGCGGCGAGCGAACGGGGAGGAGCCCAGAGUCUGAAUCAGUUUGUGUGUUAGUGGAAGCGUCUGGAAAGUCGCACGAUACAGGGUGAAAGUCCCGUACACGAAAAUGCACAGGCUGUGAACUCGAAGAGUAGGGCGGGACACGUGGUAUCCUGUCUGAAUAUGGGGGGACCAUCCUCCAAGGCUAAAUACUCCUGACUGACCGAUAGUGAACCAGUACCGUGAGGGAAAGGCGAAAAGAACCCCGGCGAGGGGAGUGAAAAAGAACCUGAAACCGUGUACGUACAAGCAGUGGGAGCAUCCUUCGGGGUGUGACUGCGUACCUUUUGUAUAAUGGGUCAGCGACUUAUAUUCUGUAGCAAGGUUAACCGAAUAGGGGAGCCGAAGGGAAACCGAGUCUUAACUGGGCGUUAAGUUGCAGGGUAUAGACCCGAAACCCGGUGAUCUAGCCAUGGGCAGGUUGAAGGUUGGGUAACACUAACUGGAGGACCGAACCGACUAAUGUUGAAAAAUUAGCGGAUGACCUGUGGCUGGGGGUGAAAGGCCAAUCAAACCGGGAGAUAGCUGGUUCUCCCCGAAAGCUAUUUAGGUAGCGCCUCGUGAACUCAUCUUCGGGGGUAGAGCACUGUUUCGGCUAGGGGGUCAUCCCGACUUACCAACCCGAUGCAAACUGCGAAUACCGAAGAAUGUUAUCACGGGAGACACACGGCGGGUGCUAACGUCCGUCGUGAAGAGGGAAACAACCCAGACCGCCAGCUAAGGUCCCAAAGUCAUGGUUAAGUGGGAAACGAUGUGGGAAGGCCCAGACAGCCAGGAUGUUGGCUUAGAAGCAGCCAUCAUUUAAAGAAAGCGUAAUAGCUCACUGGUCGAGUCGGCCUGCGCGGAAGAUGUAACGGGGCUAAACCAUGCACCGAAGCUGCGGCAGCGGCGCUUAGGCGUUGUUGGGUAGGGGAGCGUUCUGUAAGCCGUCGAAGGUGGCCUGUGAGGGCUGCUGGAGGUAUCAGAAGUGCGAAUGCUGACAUAAGUAACGAUAAAGCGGGUGAAAAGCCCGCUCGCCGGAAGACCAAGGGUUCCUGUCCAACGUUAAUCGGGGCAGGGUGAGUCGACCCCUAAGGCGAGGCCGAAAGGCGUAGUCGAUGGGAAACAGGUUAAUAUUCCUGUACUUGGUGUUACUGCGAAGGGGGGACGGAGAAGGCUAUGUUAGCCGGGCGACGGUUGUCCCGGUUUAAGCAUGUAGGCGGAGGUUCCAGGUAAAUCCGGUACCUUUUAACGCUGAGGUGUGAUGACGAGGCACUACGGUGCUGAAGUAACAAAUGCCCUGCUUCCAGGAAAAGCCUCUAAGCAUCAGGUAACACGAAAUCGUACCCCAAACCGACACAGGUGGUCAGGUAGAGAAUACCAAGGCGCUUGAGAGAACUCGGGUGAAGGAACUAGGCAAAAUGGUGCCGUAACUUCGGGAGAAGGCACGCUGACAUGUAGGUGAAGCCCCUGCGGGUGGAGCUGAAGUCAGUCGAAGAUACCAGCUGGCUGCAACUGUUUAUUAAAAACACAGCACUGUGCAAACACGAAAGUGGACGUAUACGGUGUGACGCCUGCCCGGUGCCGGAAGGUUAAUUGAUGGGGUUAUCCGUAAGGAGAAGCUCUUGAUCGAAGCCCCGGUAAACGGCGGCCGUAACUAUAACGGUCCUAAGGUAGCGAAAUUCCUUGUCGGGU